rnacentral:rRNA from 1 species
UGCAAGUCGAGCGAGAACCAGCCUUCGGGCUUGGGGAAAGCGGCGAACGGGUGAGUAACACGUGGGUAACCCACCCUUGGUACUGGGAUAGCCCGGGGAAACCCGGAUUAAUACCGGAUGGCCCAACAGCUCUUCGGGGCGGUUGGAAAAGGUAGCUUCGGCCUCCGACCAAGGACGGGCCCGCGGCGGAUUAGCUUGUUGGCGGGGUAACGGCCCACCAAGGCGACGAUCCGUAGCUGGUCUGAGAGGACGAUCAGCCACACUGGGACUGAGACACGGCCCAGACUCCUACGGGAGGCAGCAGUGGGGAAUCUUGCGCAAUGGACGAAAGCCUGACGCAGCGACGCCGCGUGGGGGAAGAAGGCUUUCGGGUUGUAAACCCCUUUCAGGAGAGACGAAGCCACUCAGGUUAAUAGCCGAGAGGGUGACGGUACCUCCAGAAGAAGCCCCGGCUAACUACGUGCCAGCAGCCGCGGUAAUACGUAGGGGGCAAGCGUUGUCCGGAUUUAUUGGGCGUAAAGAGCGUGUAAGCGGUUUGGUAGGUCCGUUGUGAAACUCGAGGCUCAACCUCGAGACGCCG